AACGAACGCUGGCGGCAUGCCUAACACAUGCAAGUCGAACGAGACCUUCGGGUCUAGUGGCGCACGGGUGCGUAACGCGUGGGAACCUGCCCUUAGGUUCUGAAUAACUCCCCGAAAGGGGUGCUAAUACCGGAUAAUGUCUUCGGACCAAAGAUUUAUCGCCUUUGGAUGGGCCCGCGUUGGAUUAGCUAGUUGGUAGGGUAAAAGCCUACCAAGGCGACGAUCCAUAGCUGGUCUGAGAGGAUGAUCAGCCACACUGGGACUGAGACACGGCCCAGACUCCUACGGGAGGCAGCAGUGGGGAAUAUUGGACAAUGGGCGAAAGCCUGAUCCGGCAAUGCCGCGUGAGUGAUGAAGGCCUUAGGGUUGUAAAGCUCUUUUACCCGGGAUGAUAAUGACAGUACCGGGAGAAUAAGCUCCGGCUAACUCCGUG
rnacentral:rRNA from 1 species